rnacentral:sRNA from 1 species
CCACAGGACACUGAAUUCAUUUAAAUAGGUGAAGUUUAUUAAUGCACACACCAAUACAGUUCAACCAGAGCAACAGCUCACAACUGUGUACUGGACAUUGCUAGGCCCAGCUCAUUGCAAAAUCCACAUGGGCUCAUGCACAAGUGUUGGAAAUGCUUCGGUCUAUGGGCCCUGACUCAGGCCAUUUUACACAUAAUUGUUCCUAUUUUCCUUGAAUCUAUUGGGUCCUAUGUGAAGAAUACACUUGGGGAACUUGUUAAGAUUAACAAACCUCAUAACAUACAGAACAUAACAGGGUAUGUGACCAGCACCACACAGUUCAACGUCAGAGUUUUUUGUUCUUUGUUAGUGUUUUUCUUGGCAUCCAUGAUGUGGAGACGUAUUACAGAACAAUAGGAAAGAGCUGGCUGCUGUGUAAAAAAUUCGCUGCUAUUAAGUGCCCAUUCAACAUCACUCUGUCCCUGAAGAGGAACUCAAGGUCUGCCCCCUGCUGCCUGUGAGCCAGGAAGAGGCACAGAAAGGCAAGGCCACAGCACUGGUUUCCAAUCCCUCAGUAAUGCUGGAUUUCCAAUAAUGUACUUGUAUACACAAAUACACUGUGGUAAGUUGCAAUAGAUACUAAUCAUUUCUCACAUAGGGCAGCAGUUGAUUGCCUACAACUAAUUCUAUUAAAAAAAA